GUGCUCACUUCAGCAGCACAUAUACUAAAAUUGGAAUGAUACAGAGAACAUUAGCAUGACCCCUGCACAAGGAUGACAUGCAAAAUUAAUCUACCUCUUUCUCUUUU